CCUAUUGUGUAUCGACCUGUAUUGCGCCCCGGAACCUUUUAUUUACGUUUCACCCGGUACCCUUUUAGAGGCGCACAGCAGCAUUCAUGGCGAUGCGUGUCUCGCGCGUAGUCGCGUCGAAAACGUAAGUUUAAUGUCUUAAUGCCUGUAUUUUGGUUAUAUAAAUGUUGGGUUCAUAUUGAAACGUUUUCUGUAUAAUUUUUAUAGUUCAUGUGUCUUAUACCGGUCGCAUUUCUAUGCCGUUUUAUGUCCGUAAAUAGUGUAUGAAGCAAGCUAACGGCCAGACCCAUGAAUGUCCGGUGAAUUCAACUUUUCCCGCUCAAUUUACCGUUGUCUUGCACCCUUGGCAAGCGGAGCGAGUUUCACGGUGCCAUAGCAACAAAAGAACAAAAGAAUAAAAGGUUGCACCCGUCAGAGACUCUCCGGUUAUUUCGUGUCAAGGGCUGCUACAGUGAAACUCGACCACGACGAAUCCUCUUCCACGGACCCUCAACGCUGCAUCUGGACGUCCAACUUCGAUGUGCGGGCAUCUUCAAUACUGUAAAUAAGACAUCGCCCGAUGUCCUGCACACAUUCCCACAGGCGCCUCAGCUGCAUCAAGAGACACUGUACACAUAAUCAAAGGUGAUGUGGUAAGAGAA